UACAGAGGGGGCAAGCGUUGUUCGGAAUUACUGGGCGUAAAGGGCGCGUAGGCGGCCUGCUAAGUCGAACGUGAAAUCCCUGGGCUCAACCCAGGAACUGCGUCCGAUACUGGUUGGCUUGAAUCCGGGAGAGGGAUGUGGAAUUCCAGGUGUAGCGGUGAAAUGCGUAGAUAUCAGGAGGAACACCGGUGGCGAAGGCGGGUCUCUGGGCAGUAACUGACGCUGAGGAGCGAAAGCGUGGGGAGCGAACAGG
rnacentral:rRNA from 1 species